UUUCCGUAGGUGAACCUGCGGAAGGAUCAUUCAUAAUAAGUGUUUUAUGGCACUUUUUUAAAUCCAUAUCCACCUUGUGUGCAAUGUCAGGGCUGAUUUUUCUCUCGAGAGGAUCAACCCCAAACAUCAACCAUAUCUCAACUCUUUGUCUGAAAAAUAUUAUGAAUAAAACAAUUCAAAAUACAACUUUCAACAACGGAUCUCUUGGCUCUC
rnacentral:misc_RNA from 1 species